rnacentral:rRNA from 1 species
GUAGGUGGCAAGCGUUGUCCGGAAUUAUUGGGCGUAAAGCGCGCGCAGGCGGUCCUUUAAGUCUGGUGUGAAAGCCCACGGCUCAACCGUGGAGGGUCAUUGGAAACUGGGGGACUUGAGUACAGAAGAGGAAAGCGGAAUUCCAAGUGUAGCGGUGAAAUGCGUAGAGAUUUGGAGGAACACCAGAGGCGAAGGCGGCUUUCUGGUCUGUAACUGACGCUGAGGCGCGAAAGCGUGGGGAGCAAACAGGAUUAGAUACCCUGGUAGUCCACGCCGUAAACGAUGAGUGCUAAGUGUUAGGGGGUUUCCCGCCCCCCUUAGUGCUGCAGCUAACGCAUUAAGCACUCCGCCUGGGGGAGUACGGCCGCAAGGCUG